ensembl:lncRNA LINC00683 long intergenic non-protein coding RNA 683
CUGCCCAGGGCGGGUGAGGACCCUGCACACACACGGUGUGUUUGUGAGCUGUGCAGAGUGGGGUCUCCCUGGCAAUGGCCACAGCCUCCAGGGGCGCUGACACCUCCCGUCUAACUGGUAGACAGUUUCUGCCUCUUCUUGUUUGGGGAUUGGAGAGGGAAGUGCGUCUGGAUGACUACUAAGAUGAGGAGGCUGAGGCCUAGUGCUCCUAGCGGGCUUGGUCAAGAGCAGGAGGCGGAGGUGGUGGAAGGCUGUUUCCCUGCGUGCCCAGAAGAGGGCAGAGCCUGGACAUCCUAGAAAGUGGUCUUCAUGACAGAGGAUUCCUGCCAAUGACUUGGAUGUAGCUUUCCAAAGCUGUGUGAAGAAAUACAGCUUUGGCGUGACUAAUGAGGACAGAUGUGGAAUUUCUGCUCCUGAGAAAUCUUUAAACACAAAUAAUAUACUAUUUUUUGUUCCGUACAAGCUAGAAAUUUACCUAAGGACAAGAAGCUAGUCCUGGUAAUAUCCCGUGAUCCUUUUUAGUUGUAGUUUCCUAUGGCUUAGCAAUUCAUCGGAAUAUGAAAGUAUUCAAGGCCAAGAUGGUGGCUCACGCCGGUAAUGCUAGCACGUUGAGGGGCCGGGACAGGUGGAUCACUUAAGGCCAGGAGUUCAAGACCAGCCUGGGAAAUAUGGUGAAACCCCAUCUCUACUAAAAAUACAAAAAUCAGCCGGGAAUGGUAGUGCAUGCCUGUAAUCUCAGCUACUCAGGAGGCUGAGGCACAAGAAUUGCUUGAAUCCAGGAGGCAGAGGUUACAGUGAGCUGAGAUCGCAGCACUGCACUCCGUCCUGGGUGACAGAGCAAGACUCUAUUAAAAAAAAAAAAAAGUAUUCAAGGGCGUUCAUAUUGUUAAAGUGAUAACAUCUCAUUUUUCAUAAAAGUUAGAUAUGAUUUAAAUCAUUAAUUUAAGACAGAGUUUUUCUAAAUUUUAGACGAGCAAUAUUAACUAAACAUACGCAACACUUAUGAUCAUAUAGAAAUACAAACACAAGUCUGUUGGCUUUUAAAGAACAAAAUGCAAGAACUCCAAAUAGACUAUGACCACACUUUUGUCUGCUUUUAACACUGCGUGAAGCUAAAUGUCCUGCCACAUUUUAGUGUAUGUAAUGUGUCAAAACCAAGCAGUAUCUUACAUUAAAACAUUAUUUGUCAACAA